GGGGAAUUUUGGGCAAUGGGCGAAAGCCUGACCCAGCGACGCCGCGUGCGGGAGGACGCCCUUCGGGGUGUAAACCGCUGUCAGAGGGGACGAAACCCCGUCAUGUGAAUAGCAUGGCGGCUUGACGGUACCCUCAAAGGUAGCACCGGCUAACUCCGUGCCAGCAGCCGCGGUCAUACGGAGGGUCCAAGCGUUGUCCGGAUUUAUUGGGUGUAAAGGGUGUGUAGGCGGGCUUGCAAGUCAGAGGUGAAAGCCUGCGGCUCAACCGUAGAAUUGCCUCUGAUACUGCAGGUCUUGAGUCCUGGAGAGGUUGUCGGAAUUCGUGGUGUAGCGGUGAAAUGCGUAGAUAUCACGAGGAACACCGGUUACGAAGGUGGACAACUGGACAGGUACUGACGCUGAGGCACGAAAGCGUGGGGAGCAA
rnacentral:rRNA from 1 species